rnacentral:rRNA from 1 species
CCAAACUGUUGCCUCGGCGGGGUCACGCCCCGGGUGCGACGCAGCCCCGGAACCAGGCGCCCGCCGGAGGAACCAACCAAACUCUUUCUGUAGUCCCCUCGCGGACGUAUUUCUUACAGCUCUGAGCAAAAAUUCAAAAUGAAUCAAAACUUUCAACAACGGAUCUCUUGGUUCUGGCAUCGAUGAAGAACGCAGCGAAAUGCGAUAAGUAAUGUGAAUUGCAGAAUUCAGUGAAUCAUCGAAUCUUUGAACGCACAUUGCGCCCGCCAGUAUUCUGGCGGGCAUGCCUGUCCGAGCGUCAUUUCAACCCUCGAACCCCUCCGGGGGAUCGGCGUUGGGGAUCGGGACCCCUCACACGGGUGCCGGCCCCGAAAUACAGUGGCGGUCUCGCCGCAGCCUCUCCUGCGCAGUAGUUUGCACAACUCGCACCGGGAGCGCGGCGCGUCCACGUCCGUAAAACACCCAACUUUCUGAAAUGUUGACCUCGGAUCAGGUAGGAAUACCCGCUGAACUUAAGCAUAUCAAUAAGCGGAGGAA